AGAAGGAAGCUGCAUCGGCGAAGCCGAAUUAAAAUGCAGCGACUGAUAUGCCGCCGACGAAGGGAGGGGGCAAUACAAAAA
rnacentral:sRNA from 1 species